UACAGAGGUCCCAAGCGUUGUUCGGAUUCACUGGGCGUAAAGGGUGCGUAGGCGGCCAGGUAAGUCUGAUGUGAAAUCUCGGAGCUCAACUCCGAAACUGCAUUGGAUACUAUCUGGCUGGAGGGUCGGAGGGGGGACUGGAAUUCUCGGUGUAGCAGUGAAAUGCGUAGAUAUCGAGAGGAACACCAGUGGCGAAGGCGAGUCCCUGGACGACUCCUGACACUGAGGCACGAAAGCUAGGGGAGCAAACAGG
rnacentral:rRNA from 1 species